rnacentral:rRNA from 1 species
GAUGAACGCUGGCGGCGUGCUUAACACAUGCAAGUCGAACGGAAAGGCCCAAGCUUGCUUGGGUACUCGAGUGGCGAACGGGUGAGUAACACGUGGGUGAUCUGCCCUGCACUUCGGGAUAAGCCUGGGAAACUGGGUCUAAUACUGGAUAGGACCACUUCUUGGAUGGUGUGGUGGAAAGUUUUUUCGGUGUGGGAUGAGCUCGCGGCCUAUCAGCUUGUUGGUGGGGUAAUGGCCUACCAAGGCGUCGACGGGUAGCCGGCCUGAGAGGGUGUACGGCCACAUUGGGAGUGAGAUACGGCCCAGACUCCUACGGGAGGCAGCAGUGGGGAAUAUUGCACAAUGGGCGCAAGCCUGAUGCAGCGACGCCGCGUGGGGGAUGACGGCCUUCGGGUUGUAAACUCCUGUCGCUAGGGACGAAGCGUUUUUGUGACGGUACCUGGAGAAGAAGCACCGGCUAACUACGUG